GACGAACGCUGGCGGCGUGCUUAACACAUGCAAGUCGAACGGAAAGGCCCUGCUUUUGUGGGGUGCUCGAGUGGCGAACGGGUGAGUAACACGUGAGUAACCUGCCCUUGACUUUGGGAUAACUUCAGGAAACUGGGGCUAAUACCGGAUAGGAGCUCCUGCUGCAUGGUGGGGGUUGGAAAGUUUCGGCGGUUGGGGAUGGACUCGCGGCUUAUCAGCUUGUUGGUGGGGUAGUGGCUUACCAAGGCUUUGACGGGUAGCCGGCCUGAGAGGGUGACCGGCCACAUUGGGACUGAGAUACGGCCCAGACUCCUACGGGAGGCAGCAGUGGGGAAUAUUGCACAAUGGGCGGAAGCCUGAUGCAGCAACGCCGCGUGCGGGAUGACGGCCUUCGGGUUGUAAACCGCUUUCGCCUGUGACGAAGCGUGAGUGACGGUAAUGGGUAAAGAAGCACCGGCUAACUACGUGCCAGCAGCCGCGGUGAUACGUAGGGUGCGAGCGUUGUCCGGAUUUAUUGGGCGUAAAGGGCUCGUAGGUGGUUGAUCGCGUCGGAAGUGUAAUCUUGGGGCUUAACCCUGAGCGUGCUUUCGAUACGGGUUGACUUGAGGAAGGUAGGGGAGAAUGGAAUUCCUGGUGGAGCGGUGGAAUGCGCAGAUAUCAGGAGGAACACCAGUGGCGAAGGCGGUUCUCUGGGCCUUUCCUGACGCUGAGGAGCGAAAGCGUGGGGAGCGAACAGGCUUAGAUACCCUGGUAGUCCACGCUGUAAACGGUGGGUACUAGGUGUGGGGUCCAUUCCACGGGUUCCGUGCCGUAGCUAACGCUUUAAGUACCCCGCCUGGGGAGUACGGCCGCAAGGCUAAAACUCAAAGGAAUUGACGGGGCCCCGCACAAGCGGCGGAGCAUGCGGAUUAAUUCGAUGCAACGCGUAGAACCUUACCUGGGUUUGACAUGGAUCGGGAGUGCUCAGAGAUGGGUGUGCCUCUUUUGGGGUCGGUUCACAGGUGGUGCAUGGCUGUCGUCAGCUCGUGUCGUGAGAUGUUGGGUUAAGUCCCGCAACGAGCGCAACCCUUGUUCACUGUUGCCAGCACGUUAUGGUGGGGACUCAGUGGAGACCGCCGGGGUCAACUCGGAGGAAGGUGGGGAUGACGUCAAGUCAUCAUGCCCCUUAUGUCCAGGGCUUCACGCAUGCUACAAUGGCUGGUACAGAGAGUGGCGAGCCUGUGAGGGUGAGCGAAUCUUGGAAAGCCGGUCUCAGUUCGGAUUGGGGUCUGCAACUCGACCUCAUGAAGUCGGAGUCGCUAGUAAUCGCAGAUCAGCAACGCUGCGGUGAAUACGUUCCCGGG
rnacentral:rRNA from 1 species